rnacentral:rRNA from 1 species
GUAAAUUUCUUCUAAAGCUAAAUAUUGGCCAGAGACCGAUAGCGCACAAGUAGAGUGAUCGAAAGAUGAAAAGCACUUUGAAAAGAGGGUUAAAUAGCACGUGAAAUUGUUGAAAGGGAAGCGUUUGCGACCAGACUUUUUCCUAGCGGAUCAUCCGGUGUUAUCACCGGUGCACUUCGCUAGGUUAAGGCCAGCAUCGGUUUCUGUAGGGGGAUAAAAGCUUGGGGAAUGUAGCUCCCUCGGGAGUGUUAUAGCCCCUCGCAUAAUACCCUUACGGGGACCGAGGACCGCGCUUUUGCAAGGAUGCUGGCGUAAUGGUUGUCAACGACCCGUCUUGAAACACGGACCAAGGAGUCGAACAUUUGUGCGAGUGUUUGGGUGUUAAACCCUCACGCGUAAUGAAAGUGAACGGAGGUGAGAGCCCUUACGGGUGCAUCAUCGACCGAUCCUGAUGUCUUCGGAUGGAUUUGAGUAAGAGCAUAACUGUUCGGACCCGAAAGAUGGUGAACUAUGCGUGGAUAGGGUGAAGCCAGAGGAAACUCUGGUGGAGGCUCGCAGCGGUUCUGACGUGCAAAUCGAUCGUCAAAUCUGCGCAUGGGGGCGAAAGACUUAUCGAACCAUCUAGUAGCUGGUUACCGCCGAAGUUUCCCUCAGGAUAGCAGUGUUGUUCUUCAGUUUUAUGAGGUAAAGCGAAUGAUUAGGGACUCGGGGGCGCUUUUUAGCCUUCAUCCAUUCUCAAACUUUAAAUAUGUAAGAAGCCCUUGUUACUUAAUUGAACGUGGGCAUUCGAAUGUACCAACACUAGUGGGCCAUUUUUGGUAAGCAGAACUGGCGAUGCGGGAUGAACCGAACGCGGGGUUAAGGU